rnacentral:rRNA from 1 species
GGAGUCUAGCAUGCGCGCGAGUCAUCGGGAACGACUAAACCCGCAGGCGAAGCGAAAGCGAAGGUACGCCGUGAAACGCGUACCGAGGUAGGAUGGGCGGUCGCGCGCGGCCGCCCCGCACUACCGGGGCGUCUCGCGCUCAUCGCGAGCUGAGGCGCACCUAGAGCGCGCACGCUGGGACCCGAAAGAUGGUGAACUAUGCCUGGUCAGGACGAAGUCAGGGGAAACCCUGAUGGAGGUCCGCAGCGAUUCUGACGUGCAAAUCGAUCGUCGGAACUGGGUAUAGGGGCGAAAGACUAAUCGAACCAUCUAGUAGCUGGUUCCCUCCGAAGUUUCCCUCAGGAUAGCUGGCGCCCGUCGAUGCGAGUCUCAUCCGGUAAAGCGAAUGAUUAGAGGCAUUGGGGUCGAAACGGCCUCAACCUAUUCUCAAACUUUAAAUGGGUGAGAUCUACGGCCUUCCCGGUCGAGGCCGUUUGAUCGGAUCAGGGUGCCAAGUGGGCCACUUUUGGUAAGCAGAACUGGCGCUGUGGGAUGAACCAAACGCCGAGUUAAAGCGCCGGAAUCGACGCUAAUUAGACACCAUGAAAGGUGUUGGUAACUUAAGACAGCAGGACGGUGGCCAUGGAA